GGAUGGGACGUGAACCUUGGUCUCCCGCAUGAAGGAGCUGAGCUCUAUCCUUGAGGCCUGUUUGUGUUGUCGUAUGACCGGUUUUAGGACCCAAAUGCAGAACACACGGGACAGAGCACAGUAAGUUGAACACAGCCUUUAUUGGACAGAUAGUAGCAGAGAAGUGAGUAUUUCGGCGUAGUUGGUGGCCACCUUGGGGACUCGACCGGGCCGGGUCGGGUACGGGACUGGCGGCGCUCUGGACGGAGACGAGGCGAGCUGGCUCUGGACUGGCGAGCGUAGUGGAGGUGGCUGAGCCGACCAGGCAGAGGACUAGUGAAGCCACACGUGUAGUGCGGGUAGCUGGCAGGCUAUGGAGGCGGAAUCGGCUGGACGACUUAAUGUCUUUCAAGUGGAUUGGACAACAUCAUGACCAAGUGACCACAGGCCAGCGCACACGAACCUGGCACAGCUAACUAAUGCUGCAUUCACAGACAAAAGGACUUGAACUCACGGUGACGUAAUUACAGCAGAGCACUGCAACAAACUGAGCUAACAGAGGGGUUCAGCAGUGCCAAGUUCAUCUGUACUGCUGGUCUAAAACAUGCUGCCAAAUGCUCUCUUUUGCUUUAAUUGCUGUAGUUUUGUUCAUUUUUUUCUGUAAUUUUUCACUCUAUAUUAUGUUUAAUAUGUGUUGCUUUGUAACUGCGAACAUUGCAGUUUUGUCUUAACAUGUCCAUUUUCUUCACUGUGAAUUAAUGGGAUCAGCGCUUGAUGUCUCACGUCUGUGUUUCAAAUGCAUGAAAUAAACCAGACUUCACUUAGAGUGUUCACAUUAGCUCCAAACCAUAUGAAACAGACUGAUCUUGGUUCGGUUUGUUAGGUUAAUUCAAGACGUGCUUUUCUCAAUAAGCCGUGCUUUACUGAACCUUUAUGAAACACCCCUCAGGAAGUUGCCCUCAAAUGACCAACAAAGUGUAAACACCAGAGGAAAACUGGGAGUUUCGAGCUACCUACGCGCUGAGAUAUUUAAAUAACUCAUGAUCAGUGGACCAGGUUAAUGGUACAUACAUCCCUGUAACUUUAAAGUAUAGGCCGUGAACAAACAAUGGAGUUUAUUUCUGGUGUCCAUUAUUUACAUCCUGCAGUAGCUCCUUCAUUGGUGUGUUCAAAGUCAAAUAUUUGCCUGUGACUGAUUAUUACCUGAAUGCAAAUACCUGGGAAAUAUGUCAGGAUCCUGUGACAUUUCCUGUUCAAAAGAAUCGCCUGAUUGCACCACUAAACAAUGUUCUGGCACACAAUGGAUUAUGGGAUACUGAAGGGCGCUUGUGACGUCCAACUUUAGAUUGUUGCAUUUCCCCCCUGCAUUUGAAGGAGCCUUUGAAAUGGGGUAGGCCUUGUGUUUGGUUUUAUAAUGUUGAGCUGCUUGUGUUCCUGCACACUAAGAACAGGUUCCACAUUUAAAGCAAAUAAGGAGAAUGAACUGAACAAUCGUUGGCAGUAGUUUCCAGCUGAAAAGGACAUCUGCAGGCACCUCAUGUUCAUUCAUAUUUCCAUACACCAUCACACACCAGUGUUUACAGUACACAACCCUAUAAGUCAUGAGGCUUGGUGACAUAGCAAAACUGCACCAGCAGGUAAAUGCAUUGCUUAUUUAGUGACUUUGUCAAGUUCUGUUAUUCAAGUAAGGUGCAGCAACAUUAUCAAAUAAAGAAAAGCCUUUUCCUGUUCUUUGUUGUUUCGCCUGUAAUCCAGUUCAUGAAAGGCUCCUCUGUUAGUGCUACACUGCAGAGGAAGAGAUGUGUAUCAUGUUUAAUA